AGAUAUUUAACGACUAACGGGUUAAUAUCCUAAAUAUCUAAACCUACCCUACCCCAAACCACCCCCCAACCAACCAAACCCACCCACUCACAUUUAUUACACGGCUAUAUCAGCCAACUCACACAACAACAAACACAUUCACACACACAACACCUAAAACACACACACACUUCACGCCAUUUUCAUUUUAGCUUGAGCUCAAGCUUUUGACUUCCGAUUUGAGCACCGAGACGAGCGCCGAUCAUCUUUUCGAUCACGUAUCUAAGUAGGUCCUUUUGGGAAGUAACGACUUGAGGGAGAGAGUGACGUUACUCAUUGAUACAGAGACACAACGAGGUUGAGCUGAUGUGAUGAUGGUGCUGCAAUGAGCGGAGUCUCCAGGGUUGUUAAUAAAUAGUUAACCUGUCUAGAAUAUGUCUUCAUACAUAUGUCUAGCUACUUUCCGCUGCAAGAUGUUGUUGAUGUUAUAGUAUGUUAUGUCAUACUUUGAGUCUUAAGAGAAUGGUUUCAUACGAUGUAUAACUUGAUUAAUGAUAUUAAUUAAGUUUUAUGCUGUCUUUCAUAGACUGUUUUCAAUUGAGUAUUAAUGAAUAAAAAUGACGAGUUUUAUUAAGAUGAGUAAGUUUUACGGCUAUAAAUGACGCCCCUUUUCUUCCCCUUCUUCUUUAACCCCAUCCCUAGUCGUGGAUCACUCGGCCUAACUAUCCAUAGUUAGGGCGGGCUGUGACAGAGUGGUAUCAGAGCGAAGGAAAGCUCUGAAUUAGAAGUCUUGAGUUUAGUCUAGAAUGAGUCACUAGACUAAUAGUUAUUAACAACCGUGAGCUCAGCGCACCAUCACACCAGGCUCAACGAGGUAUGUAAAAUUUCAAAGUUUAUUUGACGUUAAAUUUUGAAGAGCACGAUGUUGAGGUUAUAUGAUGAGUUAUGAUGUUAUGCUUUGAAGAUGCAUAGUUUGAGUUUGAGGAUGACAACAUGAUUAAUAAUGAGUUAUUAUGUUGUAAGAGCAUAUGUUGACGUUACAUGAUGAAUCAUGAGAGCGUUUAUAUCA